rnacentral:rRNA from 1 species
AUUGAACGCUGGCGGCAUGCUUUACACAUGCAAGUCGGACGGAGUGGCGAACGGGUGAGUAACGCAUCGGAACGUACCGAGUAAUGGGGGAUAACUGUCCGAAAGGACAGCUAAUACCGCACACUGAAGGAGGGGAUUGCGUCUGAUUAGCUAGUUGGAGGGGUAACGGCCCACCAAGCCGACGAUCUCUAGCUGGUCUGAGAGGAUGACCAGCCACACCGGGACUGAGACACGGCCCGGACUCCUACGGGAGGCAGCAGUGGGGAAUAUUGCGCAAUGGGGGCAACCCUGACGCAGCCAUGCCGCGUGAAUGAAGAAGGCCUUCGGGUUGUAAAGUUCUUUCGGUGACGAGCGUUAAUCACAGAAGAAGCACCGGCUAACUCCGUGCCAGCAGCCGCGGUAAUAC